rnacentral:lncRNA from 1 species
AUAUGUAAGAUUUAAUCAGCUCGAGCUCAAAUCAUGAAAUCUCAUAAAAAAUUUUUUUCAUAAUUUACUAUGCCGUGGCCACGCUAUUAUGAACUCAAUUUUAUAAAUCACAUAGGACUACUCCUUAACUACUAAGAUCGAUAGAUCCUAUCUAAGUGCACAUCCUACUCCUAUAGCGAACUACUAUCAUCAACAUACACCA